rnacentral:rRNA from 1 species
AGCGAACGUUAGCGGCGGGCCUAACACAUGCAAGUCGAACGCGAAAGGUCUUCGGACUGAGUAGAGUGGCGCACGGGUGAGUAACACGUAGGUAAUCUACCCUUUGGCGGGGAUAACGUUCCGAAAGGAGCGCUAAUACCGCAUAAGACCACGGAGUCUCCGGACGCUGUGGGAAAAGGUGGCCUCUUCUUGAAAGCUACCACCGAAGGAUGAGCCUGCGUCCCAUCAGCUAGUUGGUAAGGUAAUGGCUUACCAAGGCGAAGACGGGUAGCUGGUUUGAGAGAAUGAUCAGCCACACUGGCACUGGAACACGGGCCAGACUCCUACGGGAGGCAGCAGUGGGGAAUUUUGGACAAUGGGCGCAAGCCUGAUCCAGCCAUGCCGCGUGCGGGACGAAGGCCUCGGUUGUAAACCGCUUCUAGCCGGAAGAAAUACGCCGUUUUAAUUACUAGACGGUGGAUGACGGUACCGGAAGAAGAAGACACCGGCUAACUACGUGCCAGCAGCCGCGGUAA